AUACGGAGGAUGCAAGCGUUAUCCGGAUUUAUUGGGUUUAAAGGGUGCGUAGGCGGUUUGCUAAGCGGGAGGUGAAAUGCCGGCGCUCAACGUCGGAAGUGCCUCCCGAACUGGUGGACUGGAAUGACUCUGCCGUGGGAGGAAUGUGUAGUGUAGCGGUGAAAUGCUUAGAGAUUACACAGAACACCGAUUGCGAAGGCAUCUCACGAAGGGUUGAUUGACGCUGAGGCACGAAAGCGUGGGGAUCAAACAGGAUUAGAUACCCUGGUAGUUCACGCAGUAAACGAUGAUGGCUAACCGCUGGUUUAUUCGGAUCAGUGGCCAAGCGAAAGCGAUAAGCCAUCCACCUGGGGAGUACGACCGCAAGGUUGAAACUCAAAUGAAUUGACGGGG
rnacentral:rRNA from 1 species